rnacentral:lncRNA from 1 species
ACUCUGGAGGAUGAUUUCUGGACUGUUCUGUUUCUUACCCCCCCUACCCUGUGGGGCAGUCACUGCUGGUGCCCCUGAUAGGAUGUCUGGCCCCUGUCAGACCCAUCAGAUGUAGCUACCACUGGGUCUCAGGUGGGUGCAGAAGCAGGCUGGCCAGCCAGAAGGCAGAAAAGACAGUGGCUCAUGAGAGCCACCUGGCUGAGGCAGAAGAGGCAGGCCUGAGCUACCAGCUGGAAGCUAUAAAGGAGGCUCCGAAAGAGGCUGGGGAAGGUCUGUUAGGUGAAAAGGAGGGACACCUUCAUAGUGAUUGUGGAGAAUGGAGCCUAGGGAGACGCGCAAGAUGAAUCCAAAGAGGCCCUGAGAGGAUAUGAGAUUGUAGACUACACCUACUGUACACGGAAGACCCGAGGACUGGGAUCCUAGUAUAGUUUGUAUUCCCCUAGGAAUGGGGUUCGGGGCUGAGGUGUGUUUGAUCGGGUCCCCUGCCAGCUGUAUCUGUGUCAAAGCACUAGAGGGCCAACUGGCUCCACCCUGCCCCAGAGGCAGCCCUAGAGGUGCAAGAGACCAAAGGAUCAGCAGCAGUGCUUCCUACAGCAGCAACUGGGGACUUCUAGAUUGCGACAGGGACCAGCUCGCAUAAUCCAGCCCAGCUGUCGAACGGCCUGCUCCACAGGGGUGGCCGCGGUUCAUAUGGAGAGCAAGGAAUCAAGGCCGCUUUGAUCAAUCAUCCCGGGACAAACUGAUGAUUCAGAAUGUUUAAUGUGUCUUGGUUCUUGAUUCGAGGCUCCCCUGGCUCAGACCCCUGUCAAUGGCUGGCAGUACAAGUUUGGAAAAAGUUACUUUUAUAUGGGCCACAAGUUGCAAAAUCUCCCAGCUGGCAAGACUGAAAAGCUAUGGUGACUGAUGCACUCUAGGAGUUUAAGUAAAAAAAAAAAGUAAUAUUUCCAAUCUCUUAGCUAUAAUUGUAUUCCAUGCAAGCACCCACAGUAGUGUCAGGGUGUAAACUGAAGAACAGUCUUUGUUUUAAAGCAUGUUUCCUUUUUCUUACUGUUAUUAUGAAGACCAAGAUCAUGACUACAGAAAAACCACACAACUUCAAUGUUGACAAUGAAUAAAAACUGAAUGAGUUAAAGAUUUUGGUUCA